GGCUCCAAGCUCUGAGCCACUGGCCCAGAGCCCAACACGGGGCUCGAACUCGCGGACCGCGAUAUCGUGACCUGAGCUGAAGUCGGACGCUUAACCGACUGAGCCACCCAGGCGCCCCUAAGACUUAUUUUUUUUAAUGUUGGUUUAUUUUUGAGAGGAGGGAGGGGCAAGGAGAGAGGGAGAGAGAGAAUCCCAAGCAGUCUCCGUGCCGACAUGAGAUCGAGACCUGAGCCGAGAUCGAGAACCCGACGCUUAACUAACUUAGUCACCCAGGCGCCCCAAGUUGUUGUUUCCUAAUUGAACGUAUAGUUUGCAAACAUCUGAGGAAACACAGCUAAGGGUAGGUGUGGAGCCAUUGUAACCUAGCAUUUCUGCAGGGGAUUUUACACUUUUACAAAGAACCUCCACGUCCAUUGUCUCAGGGGACUCCAGAGCGGAACCUUAGGGAUGAGAAAACUGACAAACAGUGUUGCCCAAGGUCGCAAAGCUAGCAACAGGUGAAGCCGGUACAUUAUUUUAAGAGGACAGUUCUAUUUAUCAAAAUUGAACAGAGAACAUUUCUGGAAUUAUAAUCUAAUAGGAAACAUGGUUUGAUUUUUAAAUAUCAAACGCAGAGAAUCUCUGAUGAAUACAACUUUUGCAGGAAGUGAGUUUCCCCUGCCUUUUUUUUUUUUUUUCCUGAUAAUGACUAAAAUACCACCACCGGAGGCACCAUUUUUUUUUUUUUUCCUGAACAUAUCGCAAAUCCCACCACUUACAUUAAUGGCUAUUAAUCUUUCCAGUUCAUCAGCAAAAACCCCACCGUUGAUGUAAUACUAACAUGUUUUUGAGGGCUUACUGUGUGUGAGGCACUCUGGUGAAACAUUUCCUGUGUCAUCUCAUUUAUUUCCUUCCAAGACCCUCUAAGGGAGGCAUUGCUCUGAUUCUGCUCUCAUUUUCCAAAAUGGGAAAACUGAGGCUUCGGGAGAGGGUAAGAACUUUAACAAGUUCGCCCAGCUGAGAGGUGGGGCAGCCAGGGAUCAAGGCCAGCUUUGUCCUGCUGGAGCGUCUUAGCCAUUCAGGAAUAAGCUCAAGACAUUUCUCUGGUUUCAUAUCCUGGGAAGCUCCUGGACACUCUGGCAGGAGCCAGGGAGUAUCCUGUUGUUCCUUGUCACUUGAGUGACAAACCCCUGAGCAGCUCAGCCAGCAACCGAUCCUCAGGGGAGAGCUGACAUUUCGCUCAGCCUGUUCUGUCUGGUUUUUGUCCCCUUCUCUUUGCCAAUAGGAAUUAAUUAGUGCCGGUAAGAGGUCAUCGGAUUAUGAAAGGGAUGUCAAUAAAGCAGCUAUAGGAAAAUACCCUUGGUAGGUAGCAAUAGUCUGCGUUUGCUGCACAGGAUGUAUAAGCCUUCAAACACGGUGCAAUCUGUAUGCAGGUGAGUCACAUGUCUAUCCCAAGCGAGUUCAUGCGUCAGGGGAAGAAAACGAAGCAGAGAUGGGAUUCGCAAAGUCUCUCCAAGGCCGUAGGUCGAGGCCGACCACAAUGUCGUCGCUGUCAGCCUUACAGGUGUAACAAGGGGGGACCUGCACGGAGCAGGGGCUCAUCUCUGGGGAGAGUCUAGAACGGAAACCUCUCCCAAACUCUGCCAAGCAAGGCAGUGGGAAAAGCGGUUGAAUGCACAGCACACUCUGGAUUCUGGAAUCGGAAUUAUUGGCCAAAGCUUAAAUAAUCAAAUAACUCUACGCUUCAAAUUCCUCAGGGGCGAGAGGGGCAUGAUACAGGUGCCUUCUGUGCAGGGUUAUCGUGAGGAUAGUGAGAUAGCGCUGGUGAGAUGCUGAGCAAAGCGGCCUGCGCCUUCCCAGGUAACGGCAAAUAUACGUGCAACGCUCCAGCGAAAAACAAACUCCUUUGGCAUAAGCUGUUGGUUUCAAAAAAGAGAGAGGCAUCCUGUUGUUAUGGGGAAAACAUAUUAACUGAGCACCUAUGCUGUGGUGCUCACAGCACCAGGUUUGGAUUAGAGGUUUGGAUUACAUUGAAUUGUGUAUUAUCAUUCCCAGUUCGUAAGUGAAAAUGUGAAAAUUCAACUAAUUGGCUCAAGGUCAGGUGGGAAAACCACAAUUUUAACUCAGGUCCGUCUGACUUUCAAGUUUCCGCCUUAUGGUAUCAUGUCUCAGGCACACAUGUUUCAGGCACGAGAUACAGAGUUAAGAUGUUUCCGUGAGUUCACGCCUUAGCACGACUGAAUUUUGCCGCCACCCUGCUUACAGGACUCCAAGUCCACAAAAGUGGGGCAUUCAAAUGUCUACACAGGUGCCAGACAGGGGUCUCUCACUGCAUGUGAGAAAGUUAGCGGGGUCCACUGGAUAUUGACUCACGGAGAAUGCUGAGCCCCGGUGACAGGGAGACAAUAGGGAGUAGUGGGGACUGGGGCGAGCUGGCAAGCUGCAUCACCGCUCCACCGUGGCCCAUUUCGGUCAUACGUGCAAGUGGUUUUUGCAAAAAUCUUGUGAUUUUUUUGAGAGAAGAUAAACAUUUAGACUUGCAUUAAAUUUUUUUCAUUACGCUUUUUCGUGUGAAAGAAGUGUAGAUUCGCGCGCAGGUGUAAGGAAUAAUAUAGAGAGCUCCCUGGUGGUCCUUUACCCAGUUUCCCCCAAAGGUAACAUCUUGCAAUAUUAUAACGAGGGUUGGCAUUGAUAUAGGCGAGGUACAGAAUAUUUCCAUCCUCGUAAGAAUCCCUCAUGUACAAGAGAAGAAAACUACGAACACCAAGUACUCAUCACAAAUAUAAACGCAAACAUCUGUUCUAUGGAAUCUCUUUCAGGAAACAGAAGAGGAGGGAACAUUUCCCAAUGUAUUUUAUGAAGCUAGUGUUACUCGGAUAUUAAAACUAGACAAAACGGGUCCCGCAACUUAUCCAUAGAAGCUACAGAAGAUGAGCUCGCUCCAGUUUUAUUCAACUCCAAGUUUUGUCUGCAGCGACAGUUUAGAAGCAACGCCACCCCAACGGCACCUAUAGCAAUUAGCUCAAGGUGAACUCCAAGUUUCUAAUGACCAUUUUCCAACAAAAGGAAUCAGUGCUUCCCGAAGAAACAGCAAGUCCCAGGGCUGGGAUAGAGUAGGCAGAAAAUAGGCCUGGAAUAUUUUGUUACAUCAGAGAGUAAGGAGAUUAAAACACACAGAAAAAGCAGGUACCCAACCCUUCCAGGGAAAUUAAGACGGAUUCUUCAGCCAGGCAUGAGAAGCAGAUGUACCUGGUGAAGUGUUUCCUAGCUCUGUAGCAUCCCUUCGGUCUAGUUUAAACAAUAAAGAACAAAUAAGCCCAAGAAAGUGACUUGGCUGGGAGGUCCAUGCUAGCUGCCUUAACCCUCUACGGGAGCUUUAGGACCUACUAUUCACUGGUGAGGACAGAUGAUUCACCUCCACGAACGACAUGCAGGUGUGUCCCCGAGGCAGACACCAUCUCUGAUGACAGAAAGAGCCAAGCACCCUGCGUAUGGAUAAAGCAGGCCAGGAAGCCAAUUGCCAGCCUGACCCAGAGGCGGUACUGGAAGGGCCCCGACGCCCCCGAUGACCCAAUCCUCCCAGGCCACUGGGCUAAUUAUAAGAAAGCCUAGCAGAGAGUCCGUUGCGAAAGGUGGGUACUGCCUACAUCUUUGACUUCGGCUAGAUUAGGGCAGGAAGAACAAGAAACCCCUCUGGGUGAAGUUAAAAGCCAUAGAAAGCCCCACUGAUCGUUCAAAGGGGUGGGGGGUGGGGGUGGGAGCUGGAGAGGUGCAGAGAAAGAGAAAUAAAAGAGGAAGGAGGAGAAACAGGAAAGGGAAGGAGGAGGAAGGAGGGUUUAUGUGAAGCGAUGUCAACAGCUAUAUUUGGUGUCUACUUAGACAGCCAAUCAUUUAUUUCCAGGCGGGCAGAAUCACUUAUUCUGCCCUGCUGUCUGUGUGAAAUCUCAUGCACACUGCACGGAAGUGGAAUAGAUUACUGCAGGGCUGGGUCGGGGAGGGGGGCGAGGGGGCGGUUAACCCACACUCUUCGGGAAUGGCAGUGUCAGUCUCUCUGUGUAGGAAGUACUCAGGAUAGUAAUUUAGUUGGAAAACGGUGGCAGGCCAGGAGGCUUGCAUGGAAAUUGCACUUGAAUCUGAGAACAGUUUUUUUUUUUUUCCUGACUUCUAUGGUAUGCUUAUUUGUGAUGGGUUGGAAAGGGAUCGAAAGUCUCCCCCCAAGUCUCCCCGAUCUCCCCCUUUUCCCCAUCUGUGGCACCUCUCAGAAUGGGCCCCUGCCCUUGCCAAAUGGAGAGAAUGGCUCUCUGUGUCCUUGGCCGAACUGGCCGACAGGACAAAGGAUAAACUGACCACGGACCAGAAGUCAGCCCCCGGCACUCCCAGGACCUUCGUGGACUUGAGCACGCCCCUCUCUACUGACACUGUUGAUUACUGAUUGAAAUUUUUUUUUGGGAUAUGGGAAUAAAAAAAUUAAAUAUCUGCAGAAGGAAGGUGAUUUGAGAAACCUCACGUUGCCAUGGCAUUGCCUUCUGUUCUUGUCAGUUUCCGGAUGGAGAAUGAAGGAGUGAGACAGAGGGGCGCCUGGGUGGCUCAGUCGGAUAAGCGUCUGACUUCAGCUCAGGUCAUGGUCUCACUGUUCAUGGGUUCGAGCCCCAUGUCGGGCUCUGUGCUGACAGCUCAGAGUCUGGAGCCUGCUUGGGAUUCUGUGCCUCCCUCUCUCUCUGUCCCUCCCCGGCUCACACUCGCGCUCUCUCUCUGCCUCCCAAAAAUAAACAUUAAAAAAAAUUAUAAAAAAAAAAAAGAAAGAAUGAGAUAGAGUCUCUGAUCUGCUUUAGAUAUCAACACCCAUAGGAAAGGGGGUUAUUUAGAAUUUUGCUUCAGCUGCCAUAACAGGGAGUUCCAAAGUAAUAGUAGGCAUGGAUUCAUCACAGUGCAAGUUCAUUUCUCAUGGAGAAGUCAAGGUGAGCAGCUGUACUUCCAUAGCCAUUUCGAAUCCUGUCCUGUUGCUUUGACAUCCCCAAGCCGCAUCAUUCAUCUUGUGAUUGAAUGUGGCCUUUCCGGUUCCUACUAUCAUUCCAUCCCAUAGGAAGAGAGGGGAGAGAAGGGAAUAAUACUCAAACAGUAACUAUGAAACGCUAAUCAGCGCCACGGAAGAGGCAGAUCCAAAGUACACUGGGUGCUGUGUUGCUCGUGGGUGUCCUUGACCUUAGAUCCAUUCCUCCUCUUUUUCCUGCCCGCGUCUCUUUUGUCAAAGGGCUGACCCUUGCAGGCUGCCUCUCCCAGGUUCCUCUGCCAGCCGUCUUUCACCUCGAUUCAGUCGGUGGGAAACGCUGGUGGGAGACUGGUAGGCAGGAGAAAGGGAGGUAUUGCUUCCCUCCUGUUUCUGUCUCAUGCAGUGACUCCAACGAUGACUGUGUCUGUCCGUGACUCCAGCCCCCACUGGCCCACGGACUCUAGUAACGCUGCCUCCUUUCUUCAUCUUUCCAGCCCUCGGGUGAUAGUAACUUCUUGCUGUUGUUAAUCUCUGGGUUGCUUCACCACCCUGUUUAUUUUUUCAGCUCUCUAUCACCUAGAAUGAAUUCCUUGUAUGAAAACCCCCCAGUUGUAAGUAAAGCGGUCAAAUGCUGGCCAGUAUAGGAGGGGGUACCACUCUAUCUAAAGGGAAGUUCAUAAAGGAAGUGACAUUUGUGCUGAAUCUUCAGGGUUGGCUGACCAAUCUCCAUUAAUUAACUUCUACUGGAUAUUUCUGGAUCCUGGGUCUAGGGGAGACACAAGGGGAGAAAUGGUUUGGGGCGCAGAUUUCUCGGCAGAGGAUUAGUGGAACCCAAGGCUAUGAUUACAACUGCUUCUAAUGCAGGCUUCUCCGCCUCAACACUAUUGACGUUGGGCUGGAUAAUUCUUAACUGGGGUACUGCGUCGUGAAGUGUAAGACGUUUAGCUGCAUUCUUGGCCUCUACCCACGAGCUGCCGUAGGACCCCUCCCCAGUCCUACUCAAGUGAUGACAACCCCGAAUGUCUCCAGACGUUGUCAGAUGCCCAUUGGUGGUGUGUGGGUGGGGGUUGCGGGUAAGACCACUCAAGUUUACAACCACUACUGUGUGUUGAUGGCUCCCAGCCAUCAAUAUACUGGCAAUAUGCUGGAGAUCCAAGCAAUAUACUGGAGAACCUUUUAAUUCUAAAGGUCACAAAGUCACUACCUUCCAGAAAGGGCAGCUGCCACCCCACCCCUUUCUUUCAUCUCUACUUCCCUCAGCCAGUGAGCGCCUUUAUUUCUGAUAAAUACUGUCCAGAGAACAAUGAUCCCUUCGUCUCUAAGGGAGUGUCAGGGCCAAGCCAUUGUCUUCUUGCCAAGAAGUGGUGACACAGGAAAUGAGGAGUCAUCAGCCCUUUACAAUAUUGUAAUUCUUCUCUGAUUUUUGAGAUGAAAGUUGCAGAGCUCUGAAGGAUGUUUAAUUUUAUCAGUCAUGAUCAACCUUUCCUUUGGAAGACAAUUUUCUGCUUCUCCCAUCCCCAAACACACACUUAUCGCGGUCUACUGGACUGUAAAAGAACAAAUCCUCUCUGAGAAAAAAACAGCACCCCUGCAACUGUCAACAUUGCUACCACAAGGCAGACAUUUGUACGCGUGUCAACAUAUUCCAUUAAUCUUUGUAACAAACUUGUGAUGGGUUUUCCUAUUUCAUAGCUGAAGAACCAACUCGCCUACAGAAAUACACCCACUGUUAGUGAAGGCCUCCAAAGUUCUCCUCCCGGUUAAAGGUGAUGGCAAUAACUUAGGCCUGCAUUGUGUUUUCCAAGUCUUCAGCUAAUAUUUUUUCACAUGCAUCAUCUAAGUUGUACUCAUAGCUUAAGUACUAUGGGAGGAGCUAUAGAAUAUCAUGUGCAGGGGAGGAAAUUUCAUGGUUAGGCAACGGGCUAGUCCCCGACGUGCCAAAGGUCUGAGAGCUGGUGGGAUGUUAUUACUGGAGGAUUUAUUUUAGGCAGAAAACAUGAGCAAAGACCCAGAGUCAAGAAUAAGUGGGGGGGGGGGGGGUAUAGGGGAAACAAGGGGCUACGCUCACCCAACAGGAGCAGGUGAUUCGUGAUGGUAGGAAGGGAGAUGGGAUGUGUCUGUCCAGGGGGAUCAGAUUAGGGAGGGCCUAGAAAUCCAGGCAGGAGAGUUGGGAGAUUAUGAAACGGCCACCGAGACAUGUUGGAAGUUUGUAAGCAAAGAUGAACAUUUUGCAUCCUACUCAGGAGUCACUUCUUCAGAAAAGCCUUACCUAAGCCCCCUCUUAGCGCAUCCUGGAGCUUCCCGUGCACAGUCAAGGCCCUACGAGACUGUAAGCUUUUUGAAGACAGAGCUCUGACUUACCCAACCUUGCGUCCAUAGGAGGUGCUCUAUGAACGGCCUGAGUAAUGGGUAAAUGGAGCCUGAUAGAGAAACGUGUGCUCUUCUGACUCCUCAGUACCAUUUGAAGAUGAACUCCAAGGUCGGGAAGGCCACUGGACCUAUGAGACCACAGACCUUGAACGCAGAAAGGUGCACAGAUGGAAUCUCAGAGCAGCCUCCAAGAUGCUCACUGAAGGAGAGCCGAGUUGGAGGAGAGAUGAACUGAGGAACCAUCGGGAAACAGAGAAAGGUGGCUGAAAAUCCCCAGGGCCAUGAAAAUGUGUUUGAGAAGCCCGACCAUCAUCUCCAUCCUAAAUCACGGUACAUUUCAGACAUCAGGAGACAUUUAGGCCUCACUACUGUUACAACUGACAUUCACUUCUCUUCUGUAGGAAGUGAAAUAGUCAUACCCUUAGUCUAAAAAACCCCAAAAAAUAUCCUUCCAAAUGCUUCCCUCUUCCUGCAGCCCCCACCCAUUCACGUUGGCAUGUGGACAUGUUCUUGCCAAAUGAGUCAGUCAGAUAGGAACAUUAGUCUAUUUGAACAGAUGUCACUUUAAAAAGACAACAUUGCGCCAGUACACAAAGCUUCCCAAUAAUGCCUGUCGCGUAGCCAUGGUGCUGAUGGAAAGAAAAGGGGUAAUUUUGGUGAAUUCAAAGGAGCUAAGAUUGCUGUAAUUAUGGGGCACUGCUUCUAAACCAUCUUCAGGAGAAAGGAAGGCUGGUUUGUAUCGUGCUGAGAUACGGGAAGGAGGAGAGAGGGGCCUGGCAAGGAGGUUGGCCGUCGGAGGAGAGGAGGUGGGAGACGGCAGUGUUUGCGGGUGGUGUGCUUGUGUCUCAUUGCCGCGUCUUGAGCUGCGAGAAAAUAAGACCUUCGAAGGUCACUGGGGGCACGCUCCAAAGGGUUUCCCCAGAACAAAUGCCCCGUCCUCACAGUCUGCCCAAAUCUAGCCCUUCUUUUUCCAAGCCCUGCUCACAAUCCUUUCCCUUAACCCUCUAUGGCAGAACCAGUCCCAGUGGGUUUUAGGACUUCUGUGUUGAUGACCAACGGUCUUCUAUUACUGUGUAACCUUUCGUGUGCUCACACACAGACUUGCUUCUUCUCCUUGAAGAAGGCGUGGGGCUGAUUUCCACCCGAGGGUCCCUGUAGUGCUGUGAAGGCAUGUUGGGUGGCUGGUUGAGUAGGUAUUAAUGAAAGUGGCUGUCAACUAAGGUGGUCUACGACCUAAGGGAUGUGGGGUCUAGUGAUUUAGAGAGAGGAAACAUCCCUCAGGCCCCUAUAAGCCCAGCCCUUUUUUUCUCAGAUUAGAUGAUCUCAAUACAGCCGUGUGAAAACACUGCCACCGAUAGUCUCAAAUUAAGAAUGAAGACAUUAAGGUGGGCUUCCCAAGGCUACAAAGCUCGUAAGUCGCAGAAUCUGGGAUUUCCUCUUUGACCUGUCUGACCCCAAAACUUUAUGUCCCUUUCGGAUGAAGCUUUAAUGCCCCCAACAUCUUCCCUUUGCCUUUGGCCAAGACCAGAAAUUGGGGGAAUUUUGUCCUGGUACCUUGAAACUUUGGUACCUGUUAUACUGAAAACGCUCCUAGGGUGAGGGGUGAUGGGCAGAAUAAUGCCCUCACCCCGCAAAUGCUCAUAUCCUAAUCCCAGGACCUGUGAAUAUAUUAGGUUACAUGGCUUCGGGUAGUUGAGGGUACAGAUAGAAUGAAAGCUGCCAAAUCGCUCACCUUAAAAAAGAGAUUAUCCUGGAUUAUCUGGGUAUGCUCAAUAUAAUCACUGGGACCAUUAAAUGGAGGAAGAGG